rnacentral:rRNA from 1 species
UACGAAGGGUGCAAGCGUUACUCGGAAUUACUGGGCGUAAAGGGUGCGUAGGUGGUCGUUUAAGUCCGUUGUGAAAUCCCUGGGCUCAACCUGGGAAUGGCAGUGGAUACUGGACGGCUAGAAUGCGGUAGAGGGUAGUGGAAUUCCCGGUGUAGCGGUGAAAUGCGUAGAGAUCGGGAGGAACACCAGUGGCGAAGGCGACUUUCUGGGCUGUUCCUGACGCUGAGGCGCGAAAGCCAGGGGAGCGAACGGG